GUUCGACAGCACAUUAGCCGCGGCUACUCUCCACCUUGAGAUGAUGGGCAGCCUGCCAGGUAGAGGUUGCCAUGACUCCUAACGCCACCCCUUCCCUCUGCACUCCCUGCCCCCUUGAAUGUGCCAAAUAUUCGGGCAGGCUGGGCUGGCUAAGGUUUUGAUUUAGACAAAAGAUGUCUUAACAAUGUCAGUAGAAUGCUUUAUGGGAAUGCUGUGGCUUUCUGGUAGGAAAUCAUGUGACCUCCUCGGCCAAGGUUUUGUUAUGGUGCCAGGAGGGAGAGAACGAGAGAGGGAGUGAAGGGGGAAACUUGGAAUGCGAUGCCAGCAAAGGGUUUUAUUCUUUCUUUUUGGGGCUUUCUUUCAUUCUUGUGUUUGCUGAGAAAAUGGCGGACGGUGUGGAGCUGAAAUGAACCCGACUUGCCAAUGGAGCUGGGCACAACAACACAACUCAACUCUAGUAUUUUUAAAUCAAAUUUUUUGCAUGGCACCCAUGUCUCAUAGCUUUUUGAUUCCUGAUAAAUCCUGCUUCCUAUCUGUCUGUCUCCGGCUGGGUACAAAAGAGAGGUCUGAACAAUCCAAAUCAAGUAGAGAUGAUGAAUGUCAAAUGGUUAGUAGAGAUCUGGAGUGAGAAAUGACCAUGGGUGACUCCUUACCCUGAAAGGCACACGAUCAACAAGACCGAAGAGGAGGAGGUGGUAGCGGAGGUGUAGGGGAGGGGGUGGCAGAAGGGAGGCUGUUCCUCAGACGGCACAGAGCGCUCUCUUCUCGUCUCCCCACAUCAUUGGUAUGCAGUGACUGUUCCCCAGGCGACAGGGCCACUGGGUUGGGGCUAAACUGACUGCAGGAGAGUCAGGUCUACAAAGUAAAUGAGAGGAGAGCAAGAUAGCAGGUAAGGGUAAUGAGAACAGGCAGAGAGAGGGAGGGAGGAGGACAAGAGAAAGGCGGAAGGGAAGCUAGAUGUCCCAAGGGGCUUUGGGGGUGAGGCACCGCCUGACCCCUCACACUCCGUUCACUGUCCAGGCCCACACACAUACACACACACAUAUUAAUGCUUAAACUCCCGACCAGAUACAUUAUGUUCAAGUGCACAUCAUGUAUCCAAAAAACAACAUAUCAGUUAGGCUAACGAUUUUUUUUGCAAGAGCUUUUAUGACUAUAUAGUGAUAAUGUAAUGUUUCUUGAGAUGUGUGCAUAUGAUUUCCUCAAAUAUUUGUAUUUUAUUAUGUUAUUCCAUAAAACAUGAAUCUUUAAACAGUAUAUUUGAAUAUAUUUGUAAAGAAAGCAAAUGAUGGAAUGCAAAUAGUGCAAAAUGUCAUUACAAAUAAAAAGAAAGUGUGAAAAUAAACGGAUGAAUAUUACACAUCUGUCUUUUAUUUCUAGGGAUCCCUACAACCUACAGGAUAAGUUAAACCCAGGUGAUAUAUAAGAAACCCCACAUAGUGUUGUAACAAUUUGAUUUCCACUUCUCUAGUAAAGUUUUUAUUCCCUGCUCAUGAAUUGGUUGAGUAGGCAUUGGUUGGUGGAGGUGAAUUAGCAACAAAUAUCCUAGGUUCACUGUGUGUAUAUAUAUAUAUAUAUAUAUAUAUAUAUAUAUAUAU
rnacentral:lncRNA from 1 species